GUCCACGUUUUUCUCCAUGGGAUAUUAUUGGUGGGUUGGAAUAUUAUCUUGUCCACUUCCCCCCUUCCUGUGCAGUGGCACUGUGGAACUCUCAGAGACCAAGACCAGCGCCGCGUAGUUCACCUCAAUCUUGCAAACCCACAUACGCUACAAUCUUUAGCGAGGAGCUAGAGAUUUUUCAAGGAAUCUCAGAGCUAUGGAGGAUUCCAGAGAGCAGAAUGGCAAUGCCCAUGCCCUUGCAGCUGCCGGCAACACUCCCGACGAGCCGCAGCAAGAGGGCGCCGACGAGGCCGAGCCGGGGCAGCUGCAGCAAGACGGCGCCGACGAGGCCGAGCUUCUGUUGAAGCUGAGGAAGUACCUGGUGCUGAUGGCCAUCCUCGUGGCGGCCAUCACGUUCCAGGCGGGGCUGGCCCCGCCGGGCGGCUUCUGGCAGGACAGCAAGAAGGGCCGCGUCGCCAGCGACAUCGUGAUGAGGUCCAGCUACCCCAGGCGGUACCUUGUCUUCUUCUACUUCAACACCACGGCGUUCGGGGCCUCGCUCAUGGUGCUCAUACUGCUCCUGAUGAGGGAGCUGACCCAUAAGGCGGUCUGGCUCCGCACGCUCCAGUUCGCCAUGAUUCUUGGCUUGCUGGGGCUCAUGGGGGCCUACGCCGCUGGGAGCUGCAGGGAGGUGAGGACCUCUGUUUACAUCUGGGUGUUACUCCUUGGCAUCUUCGCCUAUGUCACACUCCAUGUGGUAUUCUUCAAGCACUUGGCACCUCAAUGUCUGCGAGAUAUGUUCUGGGGUAUUCGUGCAUAUUGGAAGAAUACUCUUGGGCACAUAAUGACACCAGGAUCAGGGAAGACAGCAGAUGAGCAAGGUCCAGCAGGUCAGUUGGAAGAGAGGAUAACAGAUGGCGAAGAGGCCUCAAAUGCAGAGAGGAUAGCAGAUGGCCAAGAGGCCUCAAAUGCAGAGAGGAUAACAGAUGGCCAAGAGGCUUCAAGUCCAGAGAGGAUAACAGAUGGCCAAGUGGCUUCAAAUGCAGAGAGAAUAACAGAUGAGGCUUCAAAGAAGAGAGAAGAAAAGGAAGAUCUUGAAAGAAAUCGCAGCUCCUUGCUGGUUCUUGCCACAUUGGUAGCAACAGUGACAUAUGUGGCAGGGUUAACCCCUCCAGGUGGCUUCUGGUCUGAUGAUAACAGGAACCACAUUCCUGGUGAUCCGGUGCUGCGAGACCACUAUCCACGCCGAUACAAGGCCUUCUUCUAUUGCAAUGCCACUGCUUUUGCUGGAUCGCUUGUCAUCAUCAUCAUGGUCCUCAGUCAAACAGCGGUGGAUCAUGUUGUCAAGUCAAAUGCUCUGCGGUUGUGUGUGGUAGUCAGUCUCUUUGGGCUUAUGGGGGGAUAUGCUGCUGGAAGUUGCAGGGAGGUACAUACAUCGAUCUAUGUCUUUGCACUUGUUGGUGCAGUAUUGCUCUACCUCAUCAUUCAGUGUAUUGAACCUGCUCUGCCUAAGUCAGCAUAUGUUGAGGGUACCAUCACACGUGUGAAAAAUAAAAAUAAAGAAAUGGUUGAGAAGCUGAGGACUUUCAUCACUGACUUGUUAGAACCACCUAGCAUACCAGUACAAGUUCAGCCAGAAAACAGCACUCGAGGCACUAAUUUCCAGAAGUUGCGCACAUACCUUCUAUUGCUUGGCAUCCUUGCCGCCACAGUUACCUUCCAAGCUGGGCUGAAUCCACCAGGAGGCUUUUGGACAGAUACCAGUGAUGGGCAUAUUGCUGGUGAUCCAAUUUUGGAGGCCAUCAGUCCGAAGCGCUACAAGGCAUUCUUCUAUUGCAAUGCCACAGCAUUUGUAGCCUCUUUGGCCAUCAUCAUCCUACUCCAGAGCCAGUUGAUUACCAUUCAUGCCAUGAAGCGUCAUGUACUGCAAACAGCAAUGACACUGGUGCUCUUUGGUCUUAUGGGAGCCUACGUCGCUGGAAGCAGCAGGAAGUUCUCAACAUCCAUAUAUGUGUUCGUCCUAGUCCUCCUAGUGUUCGCCUAUGUUGUACUUCAUAUUCUAUAUGAGAGGACACUAGGGAAUACUGGGAGCACAGCAGGGAAUGCUGAGAGCACAGCAAGGAAUACUGAGAGCACAGCAGGGAAUUCUGAGAGCACAGCAGGGAAUACUGAGAUCACAGAAGGGAAUACUGAGAGCACAGCAGGGAACACUGAGAGCACAUCAGGGAAUACUGGGGCUUCCAUGGCAGGAACCUCCCAAAAUCCUGGUUCUUCUGAACCUACUCCUGAAGAAAAAAAAGAUUUGCAGAAGAGGCGAAAGUUUCUGAUGUUGCUCGCAAUUCUAGCAGCUUCUAUCACAUACCAAACUGGUAUAAGCCCACCAGGUGGCUUUUGGACUGACAACAGUAACGGACACCGAGCAGGUUACCCAGUGUUUCGUGACGAGUUCCGAAACCACUAUAGGGUGUUCUUCUACUUCAAUGCUACUGCAUUCAUGGCAUCCCUGGCAGUAAUUCUGUUGCUUGUUAGCGAGAGGCUAUGCAAGAAAGGUCUGGAGUGCUAUGCGCUACGUGCAUGUGUACUGGUUGAUCUGAUCAGCCUCAUGGGUGCUUUUGCUACUGGAAACUGCAGAAAAGUGUCAACAUCUGGCUAUGUCAUUCUUGUUGUUCUUGCAGUGUUUGUCUAUGUCAUGAUUCAAGUCCUGGUUCUGACACCAAAAGAUAAGUGGAAUGAGUUGCUGCGGCCUUCUAAGCACCAAAAUCCAUCAAUGAAUCACACGAGAAGUAUACAUGAUACUGAUAGUAAGAGAACAGAGCACAAAUGGCGCAAAGAUUUGAUGCUGAUUGGAACUCUUGCAGUCACUGUCACAUACCAAGCCGGUCUGCUUCCGCCAGGAGGGGUUUGGCCUGAUGACCGGGAUGGCCAUUUUGCAGGUGACCCAAUCCUCCAUGAUACCAACCUAACACGGUACAAGGUAUUCUUCUAUUGCAACGCCACAGCAUUCAUGGCCUCAAUGGUCAUGGUCAUCCUCCUACUGAACAACACAAUAAGCAAGUACAAGAGAUCUCUCUUUGCCAUGAAAAUAGCAAUGGUCUUGGACUUGCUUGGUUUACUUGGGGCAUAUGCCGCGGGCAGCUGCAGGAAGUUGAAGACAUCUGCAUACAUUUUUGCACUCGUCAUUGCCGUGAUCAUCUACAUCGUCAUUCAUGUCGUGUUGUCAUUUGACGAAGUGGCAAGGUUAGUGAAGGAGAAGUGGAAAAAGUGGGUGCGAUGUCUGGAAAGGUGCUUCUGUUGCAACUGAUUCAAGCAAUCAACAAUCUGACGGGGAACCAGGAAAAAGUCCUCUGCCUGUGUAAGAGUAGUCUCAGUUGUGACAUUUGUUCAGUCUAUCAUGAGAUAGACACAACCUCCAAAGUUGCAAUUUGUGUUUUAUUCUUGCUCAAGGCCAUCAUGUAGUUUUAUUUGGUGCAUUCUUUGAAUGUGAGCAAAAGAUAAUACAGAUGACAACUGUGAGAUGUGAAAUGGUUCUUUUUUCUUAGUUAACAAUAUGUGGAAUUACCUUCUGAAGUAAAAA